UAAUUUUAUACACGUUUCUCAGAAAGUCUUUAUUGUUACAGUUUGCUUCUUGUUUGGUCAAGAGUGUAGCAGGUGUGAUCUGUUUCCACAACAAAACAUUCAGCACUGACAGGAUUUUAGUGAACCUGUCUCAGGUGUACUUUGGGUGUCAGUGAAUGGAUAUAUCACUAGCUGGUCUCUAGGAACUUUCAGUGGAAUCAUUAAUUUUGGAUUAUGUUAGUCAUCGUCGUCCUGUUGACCCCGAGGAUUACCUGAGCCCCCUCCCAGAUCACUAAACCUCACAGGUGGUUCCCACCCUGCAUGGCGCUCACCUGAAUAUCCCCGUGGAAAAACACAACGUGCCUGUUACUGCCCUUCUCCUUCGGUUCUGAAGCAGUCUGGUCGUCAGAAUCAGGCCGGAGCAGCAGCAGGUCGUUAACUCGGCUCGGGUCGCAUCCAGGCACCGCGAGCAGCUUCUGGAGCCUCUGCUGCGGGCUCCCAGCGCGCGCAUCCCGGCUGGCAGACGCAUGCAGCCCCCGAGGCUUGGAGGGGGUCGUCACUCCCACAGAGGUCAUCGUUUUGGCCACAGAUAUUAAAGGGAAGCCCGCCGCAACUGCUCGGGCGCCUAGCAUGGACUCUAAAAUAAGAAAAUGAUGAUUUAACCCACUCACUUCAUGCUGCUGCUGCUGCUGUGUCAGCUAGCUAGCUGUCUCUGCUAGCAACCCAACAUCACAUCCUCUGCAGCUAACGUCAAAAUAAGGAGCCUGUGAGCGACAUAAGCUACUUUGGGGUCCUUUUGUCCACGAAGAGGCGCUGUUCAUCAAAAACACACCCCGGAGCUGCCAGCGCCUACCAAACAAACCAUUAGUACUUCUGCGCAUGUCUGUGUCUCCAGAGAUACUUGAGCGUGGAUGGUGGCGAGAUGAUGUCCUUCUAACUACUUCCGUUUUUGACUAGUCGGUCAGCCACCCUAGACCGUUCAGUCAGUCCAAGGCAAAGGACUAUGUUUAGAUUAAAAUCGAGAAAUAAAUUCACAGAUGACUAUAUUUUUGAAUAAAUAUGAGUAAAAUAUAAACAUAAAUAUUUUAGAUAUUGUACAGAUAAAAAAUCUAAUAUGUGUCAUACAUCCACAAAUAAUUAAAAAAAAUAUCUAUUUAUUUUAUUUAACUCACUGUUUUGGCAGAUCUAUUUCUCAGCACUGUCGUGGUUCCGAUUUAUAAUUUACAUAACAUUCUUGAUAUUGAACAUUAAAACAUUCAUAAAUACAAUAAACACUAAAACAUACAUAACAUCAAAAACAAGAAUGUGUUUUUGAUUUGAAAAUGUGACGGCAGAAAAUUGUUUUCUUCUUUACUUAUAAUCUUUUAUGCAAGUACUUAUAAGAGUGCUAUUUUUUUAUUUUCUAUUAUUAAUAUGUCUUAUAUGUUCUUUUUAAUCUUUAACCUGUUCCUUUUAUUAUUAUUCUCAUCAUUCUAGUCUGUCCACAUGUGUAGGGUUUAGGUCAGGGAUGCGGAGUUGUUUUCCUUACAAGCUGUUCCUCUCCUUGUUUUGGCUGGGACCAGUCAAGGCUGGGAGAGGACAUAGAAACCCAGACUGUGUAAAUGAUCCUGCAGCCCGUUGUUCUGGGCCAGACGUCAGUGACUGUCUUAGCAGACAGAACAUCUGGCCCAGCUGAUUUGUGUUUUAGUACUUCUCUGUUUAUUAUCUUUAGUUAAAUAAAUUCUUCAAAGACAA